CCUACGGGGGGCUGCAGUGGGGAAUAUUGGACAAUGGGGGGAACCCUGAUCCAGCCAUGCCGCGUGUGUGAAGAAGGCCCUCGGGUUGUAAAGCACUUUCAGUGAGGAAGAACGCCUGGUGGUUAAUACCCAUCAGGAAAGACAUCACUCACAGAAGAAGCACCGGCUAACUCCGUGCCAGCAGCCGCGGUAAUACGGAGGGUGCGAGCGUUAAUCGGAAUUACUGGGCGUAAAGCGCGCGUAGGUGGCUUGAUAAGCCGGUUGUGAAAGCCCCGGGCUCAACCUGGGAACGGCAUCCGGAACUGUCAAGCUAGAGUGAAGGAGAGGAAGGUAGAAUUCCCGGUGUAGCGGUGAAAUGCGUAGAGAUCGGGAGGAAUACCAGUGGCGAAGGCGGCCUUCUGGACUGACACUGACACUGAGGUGCGAAAGCGUGGGUAGCAAACAGGAUUAGAUACCCGAGUAGUC
rnacentral:rRNA from 1 species